rnacentral:lncRNA from 1 species
CAUCCCCAUGAUGAUCCUGUGAUCAGAAGUAAUUUAAGAAUUAACUAUCAAUGAUAUAUGUCUCAAAUUCUCAACUCUUUGAGCAUAUGUAUCAUCAUCUUGUUAAUUUCUUAGAUGAUUCAUAGGCACAUAAAAUAUAAAUAUAAAUAUAAAUACUCAAGAAGUACAAAAUCAUAUUCUAGUAAUAUGAUAUGUGUCAGCCA